CGCUGAAUUUAAGCAUAUCAAUAAGCGGAGGAAAAGAAACCAACAGGGAUUCCCCCAGUAACGGCGAGCGAAGCGGGAAUAGCUCGAGCCUUGAAUCUCCGGCGCACAGCCGGCGAAUUGUAGCCGAGAGAGGCACUUGCGCUCGACGGUCGGUCGACCA
rnacentral:rRNA from 1 species